AGGUACAAUACAAGUGCUGAUCCCGGGUGAGAAAGAGGCUUACAUUGAGGUGAAGGUUAAACAACUGGAUGGUGACAAAGCCACUGUGGAGACCAAAGAUGUGCGGACAAGGCCUCCUACCUGAUUUGGAUCAAUUCAGGUGCCCUCACCAAAGGUCUGCUGCACCCUCGGGUCAAAGUGUGUAACAAGUACGUCAUCAAGGGCCAGACUGUUGAGCAGGUGAACUACUCAGUUGGAGCUCUAGCCAAAUCCACCUAUGCAUGUUCAACUGGAUGAUGAGCCGGAUCAACAAGAGCCUCUACAUGGCCCUGCCAAGACAGCCGGAUCAUAAGAGCCUCUACACGGCCCUGCCAAGACAGCCGGAUCAACAAGAGCCUCUACACGGCCCUGCCAAGACAGCCGGAUCAACAAGAGCCUCUACACGGCCCUGCCAAAACAGCCGGAUCAACAAGAGCCUCUACAUGGCCCUGCCAAGACAGCCGGAUCAACAAGAGCCUCUACACGGCCCUGCCAAGACAGCCGGAUCAACAAGAGCCUCUACACGGCCCUGCCAAGACAGCCGGAUCAACAAGAGCCUCUACACGGCCCUGCCAAAACAGCCGGAUCAACAAGAGCCUCUACAUGGCCCUGCCAAGACAGCCGGAUCAACAAGAGCCUCUACACGGCCCUGCCAAGACAGCCGGAUCAACAAGAGCCUCUACCAAGACAGUUCUUCGUCUGUCUAUUGAACAUUGAAGGGUUCCUGAUCUUCGAGGUUCAACAACUUUGAGCAGCUGUGCAUCAACUCCCCCAACGAGAAACGACAACAGUAUUUCAACCAGCACGUGUUCAUCCUGGAGCAGGAGGAGUAUAAGAGGGAGGGUAUUGACCUUCAUCCACUUGGAUCUACAAACCUGUAUCAACCUCAUAGAGAAGGUAUGUGUCUGUUGCUUCAUCCAUUUAAAUAAGGGGCUAGAGCAGAGGGACCGGUACAUUUAGCCUUUGAAGAGUUAUUUGAUUUCUGUGUCAUUUACUCUCGCUUUGUUUCCUGCAGUCCAUGGGCAUAUAGUAUACUGCCUCUCGUUUGUUUCCUGCAGUCCAUGGGCAUACAGUAUACUACCUCUCGUUUGUUUCCUGAAGUCCAUGGGCAUACAGUUUACUGCCUCUCGUUUAUUUCCUGCAGUCCAUGGGCAUACAGUAUACUGCCUCUCGUUUGUUUCCUGCAGUCCAUGGGCAUACAGUAUACUGCCUCUCGUUUGUUUCCUGCAGUCCAUGGGCAUACAGUAUACUGCCUCUCAUUUGUUUCCUGCAGUCCAUGGGCAUACAGUAUACUGCCUCUCGUUUGUUUCCUGCAGUCCAUGGGCAUACAGUAUACUGCCUCUCGUUUGUUUCCUGCAGUCCAUGGGCAUACAGUAUACUGCCUCUCGUUUGUUUCCUGCAGUCCAUGGGCAUACAGUAUACUGCCUCUCGUUUGUUUCCUGCAGUCCAUGGGCAUACAGUAUACUGCCUCUCGUUUGUUUCCUGCAGUCCAUGGGCAUACAGUAUACUGCCUCUCGUUUGUUUCCUGCAGUCCAUGGGCAUACAGUAUACUGCCUCUCGUUUGUUUCCUGCAGUCCAUGGGCAUACAGUAUACUGCCUCUC